AGCCAUGUCACCCUGCAACUCACAACUGGCAACCCACUGAAGCUAAGCAGGUGUGAGCCUGGUCAGUACCUGGAUGGGAGACCUCCUUGGGAAAACUAAGGUUGCU
rnacentral:rRNA from 1 species